UAUUCAUUUAGUCAUGUAAACGCAGCUACUUGUGUUGUCAGGUUACUGAUGUGCAUGUAAACGGGGAAAACUGGUUAUUUUAAUAAGCCGAUAUUUGUGAGUUAUCAGCUUACUGGUGUGCAUGGAAUCGUGCUCAUUGUGACUUUUCACUUACAGGCACUCAGAGAAGGACCCAUCUGAGGGCAUUGAGGAUAGCAGCUCAAAGAGACAUAAAAAGAAGAAGAAAAAGAAGAGGAGGGAGGAUGAGGAGAGGCCUCACACUAGGAGAGACGUCACUCCGAGGCGGGAAGAGCAUGAUUCUAGAGCUAGGAAUGGUGCAGAGAAAGGAAGUCUGCACCACAGCUCUGAGUCUCUUCACAAUGUCCACCAAGACCAUAUGGAGGACCAGCAACAGCUCAAUAGACACAAAGCUAAUGGCCUGAGCUGUUACAGUGGAAGUGAGCUUGAGCAUACUGGGAUGGAUAAAGACAAAUACAAAUAUUUUGAUUAUUCUACCACUGUCAACGGCACAAAGACACUCUCAAAUGGAAAUGGAGAUGUAUGUCACAGGACCCUUUCAGAUGUUGAAAAAGCCACACAUCCUCACUAAAGACUCUGAAAACCACCCAUGCAAGCAUGUGAAAAACAAAAUCUACAGCUACAGUUCCUGACAUGGUGCUUAACAUUUAGAACAUACUGUAUUUUUACCACGAGAUGAAUUUUAAAGUUUCAUUAUUUUUUUUUUCCGUUUUUCUUUAUUUUUAAGGCUAUGGAUUUUUUUAGUACACUGUACAUAAACGAACUUUGAUCAUGGAAAAAAAAUCUAUAUAAAGUUAAUAUAUGCGAUUAAAACAAAAGCCUGGAGCUUAACAUCAGAAUUGCUGCUCAGACAUACAGACUCAGGAUUUUCUCACUUGUGAAGAUGAGACAAGCGCUCCCUUUAAGGAAUCGAACCUGGGAACGACAAGAACAUUUAUAUGCUGCAUCGGUGGAGAAAGACUGCUGGUCUCUUGGCUUCAAGCUAUGAUGUCACCAUUUUCACGUAUCGGUUGAGAGAACUGUCUCAAAGGAGCAGCCUUUGCUAAUGCUACAUGUGCACUUACAUCAGUUAACCUGGACACACUUGAGGACAUAAGAUGUUUGCUUUGCUGUCUCUUGUACCUCUCCUUUUUUAGCGUCUCACUGUAUUACUCUCUAUCUGAAAUUCCUCAAACCUAUCUAGAAUGCAAGUUCAUUGCAUCUUUUUUGUUUUUAAUUCUCACUGUUUCGUUUUCUUGAAUCCGCUUUGAUUUUAGUCAAGAUAAUACUGUGAAUUUAAGUUGAACUGUACUAUCAGUUGUUUGUUUUUGGUCCUGUAUCAGGAGUUCAAUAGAGACACUUUCUGUAAAGCCACUCGUAAUGUAGACCAUGUUCUCUUAACAUGUCAACUUUUUUUUUUCUUCAGCAAAACGAAACCGACAUGAAAAAUGGUUAUAUUCAACUUCAUUUUACUGUAGCAUGUCAAAGUAAAUGUAUACAGUGUACAAUAUGUUGAGUGAGAGGAAACGGCCUUAAUGUCUGAAAUUGUAAUAUUUUCUCUCACUAUGUUUACAACAUUUUGUUGGAGUGAAUGAACAUGUAUGUGAAGUGUUUGGUUUUGUAAAGGGUGGGGUUUCCUUUUUACAUAUAAAGAAUGAUUUGUGAGAUUUUUGUUUUGUGAAAAAUAUCUUAAUGUCAAAGUGCUGCACUUUUUUGUUUCAGCUACAUUGCAGUAAUCGUAACGCAUAGCUUAAGACAGACUUUAAUUUGCUUUUGCCCUAUUCACCAGCAAACCAGGCUAUAAUGGUCAUUUAUUUACAUCUCAAUACCAAAAAAAAAACAAAACAUACUGAAAGCGGCUUAAUAUAGAACUGCACGAAAUUAUUAAUUACUAGAUUAGGGUGCACAGUACUUGCAAAGCAAUAACAUGCAAAAUGUUUAAUCUUUUCACUAAGUACAUGAGAAAGAAAAAAAAACAUUAAUUUCCUCGGCUAAUACUGGGAUCCGUUAUUAAUAUGAGCAAAAUGGUUCGUUUAGUGAUUUAAAGAUGCUGUAUGAAGAAAUGAUGGCCACAUGUUCUUCAAGAAGACUCAGAACUCUUAUAUUGACGAAAAAUGUUGAACGAAGUAUUUUUUAAUCAUUUAUUUUGAAUCAUUUAGCUGUGAUUGAGGGUGCGAGUGUUUUGAAUAAAAGAAAGGAUAGACAGUAAAGACAUUUUCCAGACCGUUGGCUCAUAUUUACUAACUGUACAAAUAUUAGUGGAGAAAAAAAAAGCUAUGGUGUAAUUACAGCAUCUACAAUUUACCUUGAUCCCUGGUGUACACCGCCUCAUCUUUCCAAGUAAAGUAUAUCGCACUGUAGCCUGGAGACCUCAAAGUGGGGGAGCCACAAUUAUGUGGUGACCUUCAAUUUAGUGGAGUAAAAUUGAGGGUGGAGGGCUGCAGCGAUACCUGUUGCAGUGAGAUGCAGGACAGUACAAUACAGGACAAGCAGUUCAAGAAUAAUUGGAGAUAUAGCUGCUAUGUGUCUUUCUCUUAAUGAAGUCAAAUCUUUGCAGAAUCUCAAAAUAAAAAUGUUAUAUUAGGUCAGUUGCUGAGGUCAUGAGUUCAGGGCCAAAGGCUUCAUUGACAGUAAUGACAAACCUGUUUCAUUUGAGAUAUCUGAAUUACUAUUUACUGACACACACAGGGUUCUGAAAUACAGUCUUCAGAGCAUGCUGCAUAUUUACCAUAGAAAUGUUAAGCAGAAUACAAGUGACAAUAUUUUACUUAUUAUAUUAACUAUUAUAAUAAUAAUAUCCAAAAACUUUCCAUAAAAUUGUACAGGUAUUCGAUUUUAAGCUGGGUUUGGUUGCAUAUCGCUAUGGUUUUGUCUAUGUCUUAACAGGUAAACUUAGAAAAGGGAGCCUCAUUGUUUGUUGAAUUUAUGUCAUAAAUCGUAUUCUCUGUAUUUCACUAUGAUUAGUAUUGCUGUCCUACAUGGAACUGGACAGUGAUGACAGUGGACCGUGGUUAAUUUAAUUUAAAUUAUAUUGAUUAAUGAAUCUUUUCGCAGUGUAUGAGUAUUUCCUUUACACUUUGCAAUAAACUAUGAGAAAUAAUGAGUUUCAUGUUUACAGAGCUAUACAGCCUUCACUUAAAAUAUCUCAGCUUAAUAGCUGUAUACAAAAAUUGCAUAUACAUCAAUUUUAGAUCCAUGGAGUUUCCAAAAUAGUUCAAAUAAUACAAAUAAUUAUGGCUUUUGUGACAUUAUUUGUGUGUGUGUGUGUUA
rnacentral:lncRNA from 1 species